GGGAAUGUGGCUCAGUGGUGGAGCAUGUGCCUGGCACGCAUGAGGCUCUGGGUUCCAUCCCUAGCACCA
rnacentral:tRNA from 1 species